UACGUAGGUCCCGAGCGUUGUCCGGAUUUAUUGGGCGUAAAGCGAGCGCAGGUGGUUUAUUAAGUCUGGUGUAAAAGGCAGUGGCUCAACCAUUGUAUGCAUUGGAAACUGGUAGACUUGAGUGCAGGAGAGGAGAGUGGAAUUCCAUGUGUAGCGGUGAAAUGCUUAGAUAUAUGGAGGAACACCGGUGGCGAAAGCGGCUCUCUGGCCUGUAACUGACACUGAGGCUCGAAAGCGUGGGGAGCAAACAGG
rnacentral:rRNA from 1 species